GUGAAUCAUCGAAUUUUUGAACGCAAAUUGCACUCUCUGCUGAGAGUAUGCCUGUUUUAGGGUCAGCCUAAAAAAAAUCGACAUAGUUGCUGUUACGGGGUAACUUUCGUCGGGAAUUGGGUCAUCUUAAACCUUUUUGUUUAAGCGGCUUAAAAUUUUCUUUACGAUUCCAAGUACGUUUCUAAGAUUUUAUUUUCUUAUACGUUUAAGGUAGCGAUCUUUAUUAGUCGUGGCCGUUGCAUCGGAUGUCGUUCAUA
rnacentral:misc_RNA from 1 species